ACUCCUACGGGAGGCAGCAGUGGGGAAUUUUGGACAAUGGGCGAAAGCCUGAUCCAGCAAUGCCGCGUGUGUGAAGAAGGCCUUCGGGUUGUAAAGCACUUUUGUCCGGAAAGAAAUCCUUGGCUCUAAUACAGUCGGGGGAUGACGGUACCGGAAGAAUAAGCACCGGCUAACUACGUGCCAGCAGCCGCGGUAAUAAGUAGGGUGCGAGCGUUAAUCGGCAUUACUGGGCGUAAAGCGUGCGCAGGCGGUUUGCUAAGACCGAUGUGAAAUCCCCGGGCUCAACCUGGGAACUGCAUUGGUGACUGGCAUGCUAGAGUAUGGCAGAGGGAGGUAGAAUUCCGCGUGUAGCAGUGAAAUGCGUAGAGAUGUGGAGGAAUACCGAUGGCGAAGGCAGCCCCCUGGGCCUAUACUGACGCUCAUGCACGAAAGCGUGGGGAGCAAACAGGAUUAGAAACCCCAGUAGUCCC
rnacentral:rRNA from 1 species